UAUCUUUUUCUGUCGCUCACCGACCGAACCCGAACCCUAAUCAGUUGCCUAAACCCUCUUUCUUCUCCGAGGUAACCCCUAGCCAAAAUCAAUUUUGACCCGCCGCAACAACGAAAAACUCUUCGUCAUCGCAGCGCGAAACCUAUUCAAAACCCUAGAUUCCCGAGGGAGAAGGCGCUAUAUACGAUAAUUAACACAUAGCUGUGCGUAUAGAGAGGGCGAUAGAACAAUGGACGGAGGAGGGGAGGAGAGUGGAGCAGUGCCGGAGUCGGUAAUGGAAGCGGUGAAGAGAACAUCUCGCAACAUUAAAGAAUUCAGAACUCAUUUUCUAGAGUUUUUAUCUCUCUGCGACACUGAAGUUCUCGGCGAAUUGCAACCUCUGCAACGGGCUCAGUCUCUCCUGUUGCUAGCCAAGGCCACCACGACUCUGUUCACCUUGAGGUUGAGGUGUAAUGGUGUUCACCCGGAUGAUCACCCCGUGAAAUCAGAGCUUGAGAGAUUAAGCUUGUACCAAGACAAACUGCAGCGAUUCAUUGACCUGAGUAAAGCACCACUUCGACCAUCAACUACCUUGAAUUACCAGGCAGCAACGCGUUUUAUUGAGCACUCAUUGCCUGAUCUAACCCAAGAACAGAGGCAGAGUUUGAGGGAUAUCAGGAGAGGAGAAGGACCGAAAAUUAAGUACGUGGACAGAAGUGCCCAUAAAAAACGGAAACACCGGUCAUCUGAGAAGCAAUCUAUUUCUACUGCAGCCCAGGAAUUUCUUGAAAAAGCAGCCCGUGAGCUUCUUGGUGAUAAUAAAAGUGGUUUUAAAGGUCCUUUACAGCCGGAGGCUUUCAAUGAAGAUGACCAACCCAUGGAUUGAUGGAUCCAGUUGCGAGAGGAACGCAUCUGCCAGAAUGAUAUACACAGUUGACGGUUUUCAUGAUUUCGACAUGCAUUUAUAUAAUUAAAGCGACAGAUUACUUGCGGGGAUGGGUGUCCUCCGGCCCGGCGACGCCGGUGGCCACCUUGGCGACGUCGCCGGCCGAGGCCUCGGGCUUUUUCUUGGAGUACAGUAUAAAGUAGCCGAUGGUGGCGGCGAUGAGGAAGCCGCCGAGGGCCAUGGUGGUGGGGCUGCGGGGAAGCUUCCGGCGCUGGUGGAGCACCUCCCCUGGAUGGUGGCCUGGAGGCCGCUUGGAGGCCUCCACUCCGGCCCUCUUCACCUCCUCAGGGCUCAUCUUGUGCGUGUCUGCAUUCUUCC